rnacentral:tRNA from 1 species
GGUCCCGUAGCUCAGUUGGAUAGAGCAACUGCCUUCUAAGCAGUAGGUCGCAGGUUCGAGCCCUGCCGGGAUCACCA